UUUAAUAAAAUAACAUAAUUAUUCACAGUAGAAAUACUCUGUUACAUGUAGGCUACUUGUUAAACAAGUACUAAAGUAUAAGCAACGAAAUAAACUUAAACAAUUGUGGAAGAAUAACUCGGAUCAUUCACUGAGGUAAAAGCACAGAGACAGUAAAGUAAUAUUCCAUUACAAGUAAAGGUAUAAAGAGAGUGAAGUAGAAAUACUCCAUUAUUAAAUUAAACAAACUCCGACAGUAAAAUCAAAAAUAAACAACAAUAUCUAGGACUGAAAAGCAGCACUGAACGGCCCGAGCACAUGUGUUUUGAAGCGUUGCAUGAGUUUUGCGCGCUGCGGAAAGGAUGAAAGCUUCACUUCCUGCGUGCGUCACGUGAUGUUGACCUUCAACUAAAACAUAGAACAGAGUAAGUUUCUUUGUGUGUUUUAAUGAACUGAGAUAUUUGUAAGUUUGAAUUGAUCCUGGACUCAUUUGUUUUCUCUGUUCACUUUUAACAGCUGCACACAUUGUCAGGUGGUCUCCAGAUGGAGAUAAAUAUGAGGUGGUGGUAGAUGACGAGGUGAACAUCUACGACCUGGAGACGGUGUCGGUGACCGAAACAAUCACGAACCCCAAAAGAAUCUCGUCUGUUAAGUUCUUAAAUAACUCCCUCCUGGCCGUCGCAGGAGAUGAUGAGAUUGUGAGGUUGUGUGAAUUGGAAAAACUGAAAUGCAUGUGAGCUGGAACCUCCCACCCUCCUCGUGGAAGUGAACACCUCGGCCCGGCUGACGUGCCUCGCCGUGUGGAAACCUUCAUCGGUGCAGCCGCCCGUUGAGGAACCAGCAGCUGCGGCGACGACAUCUGAAGAACUCGCUCGAGAGCUUUCAAAGACCAAGAGAGUUCGAAUUGCGACGGAAGUAGUCGUUCUGGAAGACGAGAGCAAACCCAGAAAGAAGAAGAAAAAGGCAGUUGGAAAAUGAAAUGAGCAGCAAUAAAGAAAACAUCUUUCAAAAAUGUACAUGCACUCUUUUAUAUAUGUGAACUAUUUUUUUUGUUGCACAUGCUGGUACCUGGAAUGGACACUGGGAGGUGCUACACACCAUGUUUCACAGCUCUCAAGAUCUGACUGUUCUUGAGAUCCAAUAUUUUUGCUGUUGAUA